GAUGAUGUCACCUAUCUAUGCCCUAUAAAUGGAGCAUUGUUUCACAUGUAUCUGAACAAUUUAUCUGCACGAAUACCCCGUGCUACCAGAAUGGCUGUCUCAGUACUUCGCCUAACAGUUGUCCUGGGACUGCUUGUCUUAAUCCUGACCUGCUAUGCAGACGACAAACCAGACAAGCCAGAUGACAAGCCAGAUGAUUCGGGCAAAGACCCAAAGCCAGACUUCCCCAAAUUCCUAAGCCUCCUGGGCACAGAGAUCAUUGAGAAUGCAGUCGAGUUCAUACUCCGCUCCAUGUCCAGGAGCACGUCCUUAAGCAGAGUUUGACUAGGUGUGGUAUACCCACCUGAUACAGAAUCCCUUGGGGGAAUUUAUUUUUAAAAAUGCAGAUUUCUGCAUCCCAUUUUGCAUCUUUCUGGGGACAAGGCCAUGGAUAUGGUUUUCAACAAGCUUUUCAGAGGAUUUAUGGAAUUUGAUGAUAAUGAAGGAAAACAUUCAUCAAAGUGACAUCCUCAGGACACACCCAUGUGGCUCCUGGACAAUCCAAGAGCAGCCAAAUCCUGCUUUUCCAGUUUGGCUUCACAAGUCCUCCAGGACAGAGCCCUCAAAGCAACUCCCAGUGAGUUCUCAGGAUUCAGGCUCUGGCUUCAACUAAACAGAACUCAUUUUGAACACCC